rnacentral:rRNA from 1 species
UGGCAUACGGCUCAGUAACACGUAGUCAACAUGCCCAGGGGACGUGGAUAACCUCGGGAAACUGAGGAUAAACCGCGAUAGGUCAUCACUUCUGGAAUGGGUAAUGACUUAAAUCUAUAUGGCCCCUGGAUUGGACUGCGGCCGAUCAGGCUGUUGGUGAGGUAAUGGCCCACCAAACCUGUAACCGGUACGGGCUCUGAGAGGAGGAGCCCGGAGAUGGGCACUGAGACAAGGGCCCAGGCCCUAUGGGGCGCAGCAGGCGCGGAACCUCUGCAAUAGGCGAAAGCUUGACAGGGUUACUCUGAGUGAUUUCCGUUAAGGAGAUCUUUUGGCACCUCUAAAAAUGGUGCAGAAUAAGGGGUGGGCAAGUCUGGUGUCAGCCGCCGCGGUAAUACCAGCACCCCGAGUGGUCGGGACGUUUAUUGGGCCUAAAGCAUCCGUAGCCGGUUCUACAAGUCUUCCGUUAAAUCCACCUGCUUAACAGAUGGGCUGCGGAAGAUACUAUAGAGCUAGGAGGCGGGAGAGGCAAGCGGUACUCGAUGGGUAGGGGUAAAAUCCGUUGAUCCAUUGAAGACCACCAGUGGCGAAGGCGGCUUGCCAGAACGCGCUCGACGGUGAGGGAUGAAAGCUGGGGGAGCAAACCGGAUUAGAUACCCGGGUAGUCCCAGCUGUAAAC